UAGGGAAUAUUGCGCAAUGGACGAAAGUCUGACGCAGCCACGCCGCGUGAGUGAGGAAGGCCUUCGGGUUGUAAAGCUCUGUCAUCCGGGAAAAACGGCUAUCUGGGGAAAGUUCAGGUAGCGUGAUGGUACCGGAGGAGGAAGCACCGGCAAACUCUGUGCCAGCAGCCGCGGUAAUACAGAGGGUGCAAGCGUUGUUCGGAAUUACUGGGCGUAAAGCGUGCGUAGUCGGUAUUGAGAGUCGCGGGUGAAAUCCCAGGGCUUAACCCUGGAACUGCCUGCGAGACCUCAGUACUAGAGUGUGAGAGGGGAUAGUGGAAUACCCAGUGUAGCGGUGAAAUGCGUAGAGAUUGGGUGGAACACCGGUGGCGAAGGCGGCUAUCUGGCUCACAACUGACGAUCAGGCACGAAAGCGUGGGGAGCAAACAGGAUUAGAUACCCUGGUAGUCCACGCCGUAAACUAUGCACACAAGCUGUAGUGGGAUUUUACUCCUGCUGUGGCGAAGCUAACGCAAUUAGUGUGCCGCCUGGGGAGUACGGUCGCAAGACUAA
rnacentral:rRNA from 1 species